rnacentral:rRNA from 1 species
CGCGUAGGCGGACCCUCAAGUCGGAUGUGAAAACUGCCAGCUUAACUGGCAGCCUGCAUUCGAUACUGUAGGUCUUGAGUACAGGAGAGGAAAGUGGAAUUCCAGGUGUAGCGGUGAAAUGCGUAGAUAUCUGGAAGAACACCAGUAGCGAAGGCGGCUUUCUGGACUGAUACUGACGCUAAAGCGCGAAGGCGUUGGGGAGCAAACA